UUCUUUCUUUCUUUCAGAUAAGCUCUCAUUCUCUCACUGAGGUUGGAGUGUAGUGGCACAAUCUCAGCUCACUGUGGCCUCAACCUCCCAGGAUCAUGUGAUCCUCCCACCUUAGCCUCCUGAGUAGCUGGGAUUGCAGGUGUGCACUACCACGCCCAGCUAAUUUGUGUAUUUUUUGUAGAGAUGGGGGUCUCACUAUGUUGUUGAGGCUGGUCUUGAACUCCUGGGCUCAAGCAAUCUGCCUGUCUCAGCUCCCUAAAGUACCGAGAUUACAGGCAUUAACCACCGCACUCAGAAACUUCUAUUUUUAAAAGCCAUGGUUUCUUUAGGUGUUCUCUAUCACUCUAAGUCAAAACUAUUUCUUAAACAUACAGGGCUUGAAGUGUUGAUCUCCUGGAGAGCCUGGUCACCUCCAAGCCAUAGGGCUUACAGUAGGCUGUCUUCAAACAAGCAAGGAAGUGAUAGGCUUUCUACCCCAACUCAGAUCUAGGUUUCAGGACUCAUUCUAGGCACAGCUGCAACUGCCAAGUAGACUAUGAGGAAACUUUCUCAGUGUUCUAGAAAAAAUAAAUGGAGGAGAAGGUGGAGAGGGGGAAGGAGAAAUAGAGUUAAAACAAAACAAAGAGAGAGACAGAGAAAAUUAAUGAUUAUAUCAGGCCUCUCCCAACUCCCUCCUCUUUCCCUGGAGCACAGGACUAAAUGUUAAGAGAGAAGCAUGAGAUUUCUACCGUAACUGAGGAAAACUACAAAACAUGAGAGUCUGAAGAGACAAUAAGGAAGAUAGAGGCCAAUCCUAUAGUUUUUCAGAUGAAGAAAGUAAGGCCCAGGGAGAAGAAAUUACUGUAUUCAGAUCACACAGUUAUAAGGAUUCGAGCCAAUACUGGAUCCUAACCCAGUGUUUACUAUUCUGUGCAGUGUUCCAUUAUUCGUGGAUUGCUAACAAUGAAAGAAAGCGUAGAAAUGAUAUAGUUCAACCUCCUUAUUUUAAAAUAAGAAAAGAUAUAUUGAGAGAGGUCAAAUAAUUUGCUCAAAGUCACAGUUGGCUUUUUGCUACCAAUCCAAGCUUCUUUUCCCUAGUCUUUGCAUAUACACACAACAAUGUGGUGAAUAAUUUCAAAAUUAUUUCAAAAAUUAAUCCAGAGUAAAUGUACUUAUUCAGGAAAGUAGUGGAAAUAGGAAAUAUGGCAAACAUAAAAACACCUCACCCCUAUGACUCAAUUUAUACUGGUCCAUGAACAGUUAACAGUUUUCAACACUUAACACUUCUCUUCCCGUGCUAGCUGGCAGCCAGAGUUAUUCUGCAAAACUAUGUUUCCAAGUCCUCAAGAGGAAUACAUGUGUAAGUGUGCUUUAAAUUUGCAAAUGUUUUAUCUUUGAGCUCCUUAAACAGUAACACUAUUAAUCUUCAUCUUCAAGCUGCUAAGUUUGUUAUGAUAUGUUUAUACAUGUGUGUGUGUGUGUGUCUACGCAGAACUUUUUUCGGCUGGUCAUGUGACUCCUAGAACUGUAUCCUUCCAGCCACUAUGCAUUUCCCUAUGUAAAUAAUAUUAGCUUUCACUGGUGAUGGCAACAAGACGGAAGGAAUGAGGUCAAGGAGGAAAUAAAUUUGGAUAGAAAGAAGCCGUCAAAACCCUGUGAAUAAAAUUCACAAGCGAGUUUCAGUGACUCAUAAGAGCACAGAGAGGAGACACAGGGAUUAUUCAGGAGCAGGCUCCUGUAGGGGAGCAGGAGCUGCACAGCAGGAGUGUGGAGGGGCACAGGUCAGCACCAGGAUGCACCAAGGGCACCUGGGAAGUGCUGAGGGCCAGGCCACACUUAACUCGGGUCUGUGCCCUGCAGUGGGAAGAAGCCUCAGAGUAUUUUCAUCCUGCGAAUCUCCUCUGUGCAAGAAAAGACCAGUUGAUGUCCUUGAAAACUUUCCUAUUUGACCAGUUCAUUCUUAUUUCAAGAUUAUAUAUUAUUAUAUUUUUUAGAGACAGGGUCUCGCUAUGUUGCCCAGGCUAGACUCGAACUCCUGAGCUCAGUGAGACUCCCACCUCAGCCUCCUGAGUUGCUACCAUACCCAGCUUGCCCAGUUCAUUUUUAAUGAGGCCAAACACAUUGGUCAUGCAGCUCACAAACAAAAGGGAAUGUCUGUAGUUCUGGUCAGUCACAAACUCAUUGUACUUUACAGAGAAAACUCCAUGCAGAAUGUUGAAAUAUCAUCCUCUAAAGGUUGACUCUAAGUACACAGAAGCAGUGUAGGGGCACAGACAGCUCAGUUGAGCACUUAGCACAUCAAACAAGAAAGCAUGUGGUGGUUUCCCUCUACCCAGAGCAGGGUCUGAUACAGAGGAGCAAGCCUGGACUUUGUCCUUGGGCAAAGUGCCCCAUUAGGGGAGGAAGGAGCCCACUCUCCAGACUUUCUGGUUCAAAGCAGUACCUGGGUCUGAGCAGAGUGAGGAACACUUCCUGCUACAGCCAAACUAGACUAGCCUGGGCCCUGAGAUCCAUGACCUCACAUGUGCCUUUUUCUCCAGGCACACUGGAAAGCUUAGUCCCCCCGCCCCCGUGACUGUCUGUUCCCGAGAUAGUCCCUUUGCAUGGAGAAUCCUUGCCCAUCCCACCCACCCCCACACCAUAAAAAGUCAAUGUUAGAAGGUUUGAAUGGAUUUAGUGAUCAUGCACUCCAACCCUGCCUAUCUGUUCAUCGAAGUCCACUUCAAAUACCACUUUAUUAAGACAUUGUGGUUCUUCUGUCUCCCAAUUCAUUGGUACUUUGGCGCUCUGUUAUGGUAUACAUCACAUUCAGUCUUGUAUUAGAGUUGUUUGUGUACAUAUUUUCUGUCCUCACUCCAGGGCCAGGUUAAAACUUAUAAAUCUUAAAAUAUUUUGGCCUCCUAAAAAUUAAACAGUAUCAUUCAUAGUUUCCACUAUUAAAUAUUUUAUGCUUUUGGAAUAAAAUAUGUCAUUCUUCACCCCCUCUCCCAAAAACCCCAAAACUUUGUUCCUCUGCUUUUCUAGUUUCCCGUGUGCUGCUUAGUGGGUUUUCCAGCAGCCCUGGUCCCAAGCACAUGAGGGACUGUUAGCAUUUUCAAGACAAAAGUAUCCUGAACUCCUCUUCAUGAGCCUGCUAAGAUUAAACACGGAGCUCAGAACACAGUAUGAACACAAUAAAUGUAUGAUGAAAUGAAUAGGGCUAGCAUUAACUAAUGAGAGCUCCUCAAUGAUGAGCAAGAAGAAGGUGAAAUCAUGCCAUCCAAGGCUUCCCAGUGCCCCUGGAGACCACACAGCCCCUUUAUACAGGAAAUGACGUGAUUCCUGAUAAGCAAGCAGUACACACUGCACAGCUUCCUUCCCUUCCUCCCCCUGCCACUCAGCACCUUUGGCAAAUAGCGGCCUGCCUUCAGCCUUCAUUAGGAAAGCCUUCAUUAGGUCUGCCUUCUUCUCUUCAUUCAUGAGAGAGUGGCAUUAACAGUGCACAAACUAAUGCUUCUUCAAAUUUUUCUGGGGUCUGCUGCUGCUACUGCUAAAAUCCACUUGCCUUCGGACACAGUUUCUCAAAUGGCUUAAAAGCUUCUCUGCUUUUGAUCCCUGCAGCAUCACUUUCUACUCCCUCAAUCAGAAACCAGAAGCUACCCACCCCCAUUUCCUGUGUUCAUGAUAGUAGAAAGCAACAGAGAACAGUUGGCCCCUGAGCUGCCAGGUUGUGGGCUGGGUAGGGAGGAUCCAUUGCAGGAGCAUUGGAAAGCCUUGAGCACUCUGCCCUGCCUGUCCACACAGCAGCACCUUCACAGCCUUCUAGUAGUUCUGAUCAGAUUUCUGCCUCUUAAAGCGGCCCCACAGACUAAAAGCCAUCAUCUGGAAUUUGGAGUAAAAGGGCCCACAGGAAAUGAAGCACUCUAAGAAAAUUCAGCUGGGCAGGUAUUUUAAGGUCACUGACUGACUCCAAAGUGAAGGUAGAACCCAUAUUGACCGCAAUUCAUCACACUUCUGUAACUUCAGAACUCGCUGCUGACUGGAGGAGAAGGUUGCAAUUGCAUUCAGUCCGAAUCUCUGAACAUAUUAUUUAGAAAUAUUAGCUUAUCCAGCUGCCUACGGAGCUUCCCAUCUGGGCUUUCAGUUGCUACAUUCUCUAAAGCCGUAUCUGACCCACACCUUACUAACACUAUGUGCUUCUACAGCAUUCACCCAGUGUUACAGCUCUUUUAGAAUCUGUCUAGCAGGUUUUCCAGUCUUCACUGGAAAGCCCUUGCCCCCAAAUAUAAAAAAAUAAUAAGGCAUUCACCCCUGAACUUUAGCAGGGCUUCCAAUCGCCUUUAAGCACUCAUUUAAAAGAAAAGUCUUUUAUUCCCUUAAAAUAGUAUUAAAUCAUUAGCAAAUGAUUCUCAAAACUAUUUUUUGAGUGCUCUCUUCUGUGUGAGAAUGUAGGAAAUGAUGACCAAGUAUACGAAGUUGGACAUGCCUAGUCCCAGGUGGCCUUUUCCUAUUGGCACAGCUGCUGGCAUUCACCCGUGCAAGCUUCUAGCUUGCUUGUCUAUGUCUGCAGCUCCAUUUUACAGGCUGCUCAUUGUUAGAAAAGAAAACGAUUUGAGGGCUGCUUUUCAUUAAAAGGAAAACCUUACUGAGGACUUCCUUACCCUCACUAUCUGCCUAAAUAAUUUCUUCUUAACUCCUAUAUCACUUACAAGAGGAGAAAGCAGACACACAGGGGGAACUCAGUGUGACAGCACAGGCGGAGCCUGGAGGGAUGCCCAGGAAUGCCAAAGAGACACACAGACUGGUUUCUCUCUCACAGCCCCCAGAAAAACCUAACCCUGCCAGUGAGAGGUGACAGCGUGCUGGCAGUCCUCACAGCCCUGCUCGCUCUCGGCGCCUCCUCUGCCUGGGCUCCCACUUUGGCACUUGAGGAGCCCUUUAGCCCACCGCUGCACUGUGGGAGCCCCUUUCUGGGCUGGCCAAGGCCGGAGCCAGCUCCCUCAGCUUGCAGGGAGGUGUGGAGGGAGAGGCGCGGGCGGGAACAGGGGCUGCUCGCGGUGCUUCCGGGCCAGCGGGAGUUCCGGGUGGGCGUGGGCUCGGCGGACCCAGCACUCGGAGCGGCAGGCCGGCCCCACCAGCCCGAGCAGUGAAGGGCUUAGCACCGGGGCCAGCAGCUGCUGUGCUCAAUUUCUCGCCAGGCUUUAGCUGCCUUCCCGCGGGGCAGGGCUCGGGACCUGCAGCCCGCCAUGCCUGAGCCUCCCCCACCUCCGUGGGCUCCUGUGCAGCCGGAGUCUCCCCGACAAGCGCCACCCCCUGCUCCGCGGAGCCCAGUCCCAUCGACCACCCAAGGGCUGAAGAGUGCGGGCACACGGCACCGCACUGGCAGGCAGCUCCACCUGCAGCCCCGGUGGGGGAUCCACUGGGUGAAGCCAGCUGGGCUCCUGAGUCUGGUGGGGACGUGGAGAACCUUUAUGUGUAGCUCAGGGAUUGUAAAUACACCAAUGGGCACUCUGUAUCUAGCUCAAGGUUUGUAAACACACCAAUCAGCACCCUGUGUCUAGCUCAGGGUUUGUGAAUGCACCAAUGGACACUCUGUAUCUUGCUACUCUGGUGGGGACUUGGAGAACCUUUGUGUGGACACUCGGUAUCUAGCUAGUUUGGUGGGGACGUGGAGAACCUUUGUGUCUAGCUCAGGGAUUGUAAACGCACCAAUCAGCACCCUGUCAAAACAGACCAUUGGCUCUACCAAUCAGCAGGAUGUGGGUGGGGCCAGAUAAGAGAAUAAAAGGAGGCUGCCCCAGCCAGCAGUGGCAACCCGCUCGGGUCUCCUUCCACACUGUGGAGGCUUUGUCCUUUCGCUCUUUGCAAUAACUCUUGCUACUGCUCACUCUUUGGGUUCACACUGCCUUUAUGAGCUGUAACACUCACCGCGAAGGUCUCCAGCUUCACUCCUGAAGCCAGCGAGACCAUGAACCCACCGGAAGGAAGGAAUAACUCCAGACGCGCCGCCUUAAGAGCUGUAACACUCACUGCGAAGGUCCGCAGCUUCACUCCUGAAGCCAGCGAGACCACGAACCCACUGGAAGGAAGGAAUAACUCCAGACGCGCCGCCUUAAGAGCUGUAACACUCACUGCGAAGGUCCGCAGCUUCACUCCUGAGCUAGCGAGAUCACGAACCCACCAGAAGGAAGAAGCUCCAAACACAUCCGAACAUCAGAAGGAACAAACUCCGGACACGCCGCCUUUAAGAACUGUAACACUCACCGCGAGGGUCCGCGGCUUCAUUCUUGAAGUCAGUGAGACCAAGAACCCACCAAUUCCGGACACACCAGCACCCGGAUCUCAGACCUCUGGCCUCCGGAACUGUAAGAGAGUAACCUUCUGCUGUUUUAAGAUACCCAGCUUGUGGUCAUUUAUUACAGCAGCCCUAGCAAACGAACCCAGUGUGUGGUUUGCAACUUCAGUUAUAGCAUCUACCAUCAGCCCAAUUCAAAAGACCAUUUAUUUAAUCAGCAACAUUUCCCCCGUCACUCCUUAUGGGGCAGUAUCCAGUGUAGGCUACUGAUUCUACUUAGUGCUUUAAGUCAGCAUUGCCAGAAUCAUACUGAAACACAUACUUGGGGCUUCUAGGGCAUCUCCUAGUCAGCCUUGUCAAAAUCAACAGUUUUGAAAAUACGCUCUAUGGCAGUCCUGAAUUCCACAGAGGUGGAAUUCAGAGCCGCUCUCCUCUUGUUUGUCGUAUUUUAUAAAAUGGAUAUUUAAUUCUGUUUCACUAUUUGCUUUCAUUACUAAAAUUUCCCAAAAUACAUGAAAAUAGAGGGUACUCGAAAAACCCAACUUUAAAUAAAAUAACCGUGAGUAUUCUGCCAUACUUGUUUCUGUGUUAAUAUAAGAAUUUAUUUGAAGAGUUCUGCUAUAAUUUUUUUAAAUACUGGUUUCAAUAACUCUCUUCCAAUACAGAUUACACUUUGUUAGCUCCAAUAAUUGCUGCAUGGUGAAUUUAGUCUAUUGAAAAGGAAGUGUCAGGUCUGAGUGCCAAUUAUUGUACUUGACCCAAGGUAACUCUCUUUAAAGGUACUGCGUUGGGUUCCCACUGAAUUAUUUUACCACAUUCGAAAUCCUUCAUCAGAAAUUCAAUGUCUUUUAUUAUGAUACAUGAAAUGAUCUAAUAAAUCUCACUGCACACUGUUACUUUGAUUUCUCCAAUGAACCACACCUCUCAGAAUGCACGCCCUUGUAUAGUCCCCUCUCAUGGUGACAGCAGGCUUAGCCUUGUGACUAGCUUUGACAAUGGGGAUAUUAGCAAGCAUGAUGCAAGUGGAUUCUGAUAAGCUUGAUACUGUAUUUAUUUGCUUUGGCUGCCAUAAUAAAUGAUCACAAACUGGGUAUCUUAAAACAGCUCCUUUGUCAGAUGUUUCUCCACAUUCUUCCAAGGCAAAAAGAAAAGAAAAAGAAAUACACACAGACACAUACAUAUAUGUUUCAGUUCAAUAAGUUUUUGUUGUGUUUUGUUUUGUUUUGUUUCAGACAGAGUCUUGCUCUGUCGCCCAGGCUGGAGUGAUGAGGUGCGAUCAUCACUCCACCUGGGCUCACUGCACCUCCGCCUCCCGGGUUCAAGCGAUUCUCCUGCCUCAGCCUCCUGAGCAGCUGGGAUUACAGAGUCCCUGUCAUCCAGACUGGAGUGCAGUGGUACAAUCCCGGCUCACUGCAACCUCCGCCUCCUGGGUUCAAGCGAUUCUCCUGUCUCAGCCUCUCAAGUACCUGGAAUUACAGGCGUGUGCCACCGCACCCCAUGUAAUGUCCCGAUCUUGAUGGAUGCACUCUGGUUAUAGAAAUGUCCUCAUUUUAAGGAAAUACAUGCCAAAGUAGUAAAGGCUCAUGGGGCAUCAUAUCUGCAACUGCUCUCACCUGGUUCAGAAAAAUUUAAGAGCAAUAAUAUGUAUAAAUGUGUAGAUAGAGUAAGAAGACAAACAUGGUAAAAUGUUAACAACUGGGGAAUCCAGAUGAAAGGUGUACGGAAGCUCUUGUGCUACUACACCUGCAACUUUUCCAUAAGUUUGAAAUUGUUUCAAAAUGAAAAAAAUGUACAAGUAUCCUAGAAAAUGCAAACUCAUCCGAAGUGAUGGAAAGCAGGUCACUGGUUGUCUGAAUGGGAUGGGCCAGAGGAGAGAGGAGUCAGGAUUACGAAGGGGGCACAACAAGGAAACUUGGCGGGGAGGAUAUGAAUACCCUUUUUUUUUUUCUUUUUUAGAGACAGGGUCAUGCUCUGUUACCCAGCUCAUAGCUCACUGCAUCCUCAAACUCCAGGGCCCACGGGAUCUUCCUGCCAAGCAACUGGGACUACAGGCUCAGCCCACCAUGCCUGGCUGUUUUUAUUUCUUUUGGUGGAGAUGAGGUCUCACUAUGUUGCCUGGGGCUGGUCUUGAACUCCUGGUCUCAAGGAAAUCCUCCCACUUAUGACUCCCAAAGCACUGGGAUUACAGGCGUGAGCCACCUUGCCCAGCCAUGUUCAUUAUCUUGAUUGUGUCAAUUGCCUCUUUGGUGUAAAAUAGGUCGAAAUUUACUAUGUUGUACACUUUAAAAAUCUAUUAAUAGGUUAAAUAACAUGAAAUAAUUGUUUUUUAAUCCCUAACAUUUGCCUAGGGAAUACAACCAACCUCUUCAUCACAUGAAGACAUUUUUUUCAUGCUUUUCCAUGUUCCUGAAAUGCCCUCCCCUAGGAGCUUCCUCCAAUUUAUCUACUCUUUCACAUUCAAGAAGGUAAUGGAGUUCCAUCUUCCUCCAUUAACUCCCCCAUACUGAAAUCUGCUAUAUCUUUCAUUCAUUUGAAUCUUAUUGUUACAGUACAUACAAUGGAAAUCUAUAAUAUUUUUAUUGCUAUAGUUAUCAUUUCAGUUGUUAUGUUUUCUGCUUAUUUUUGUAUCAGAGUUGAAUCAAGAUGUUUAAGUCUCUGGAGAGUUAAGUAUUUUGUAGGAGGAAGAAUAUCAAGGUUGUGAAAAAAAAAAAAAAAAAAAACCUUGUUGUGGCUGAGAAACUGGGCUGGAGUCAGGAGGCUGGUGAUGGCCCCAGUUCUACCACUAACUAGCCAUGUGCCUACGAUGCUUCAUUUCACCUUUUGAGAUCUAAAUUUCCCCGUACGUCAAAGCAAAGAGACAGAUCUCGCUUUGUCGCCUGUCAAUGGCUAGAGUGCAGUAGCGUGAUCAUAACUUACUGCAGCCUCGAACUCCUGAGCUCAAGCAACCCUCCCUCCUCAGCCUUCCCAGAUCUCCUGAUUUCAAGUACAGUUCUUGCCAACACACAGUGGUAAAGGGUACGAUUACCUAAGGCUUAGCACAGAAGGUAGCACCCCUCACUGGUGAGCUAUCAUGAAACUAUGCGACAAUUUUCUCCAUCUUUUUUAGAGUUGUUUUCCUUGUCUUCCUCCUCAUCACGAUUAUUAUUGCUUUUUCAUUCAGCAAAAAAUCUGGUAGGAGACUGCACAGAAGCAUGCUCACUUGCUAUCAACAGUGUAACCCUACCUAACUUCCCUAAUCCCUAGCAAAUGAAGGAAAAAUCAUAUACAGGCACUGACAAAUAGCAACACAAGAAAGGGCAACAAAAUUACUAAAGAGUAACGCCAUCCUCCCCAACUCAAACCAGGGAAAGUAAGCUUGCCUAGGAACUUAGGCUGAAACUCACCACAGUGCCAAAAACCUGUUUUCUUAAAAAGAGGUAGUGCAGAUAGUGAAUCCACUGAGCCACAUAGGGUGGGAGUUUCUUUAAGUGCUUUUCUUCUUGCCCACAAACUAGCGUAGGCUGUGACUGGCUCCAGCUGAUCCUUAUCAAGGCAGCUAGUUCUGAGGGCUUGGUUAAGAAGCUCUUCGUUUACUUAAGAGAGCAAAGAGAAGACACGUGAAUUGGAAAAGGAUAUCUAAAAUGUCCCCUAAGGCUUCAUAAAGUUGACAUCUUUCGUCAUGACUUCUACAGUUCAGGAAACCAGGUAGCAGUAAGCAAUUAUGAACUCUACUCACUCGCCCUAUCACUUUCACAUCAAACUGGGGGUAUUGUCCUUUGAACAGAAGACUCAUGAGGAAAGUGCAGAUUCCUUCCAGGUGGGAAGAAAGCUUUGUCCCUGCUCCAUGUCUGCUGACCUGCAGGAAGCAGAGAGAGCAGGGCUGUUCGACUCCGUUUCCCUAAUGAUGUCCCAGCCUCUUUCAGUUCUGUGAGCAAAACCAAGGCUGGGUUUGUUAGCACAGCCUGUGACAGAGCCUGGGCAGGUCCUUGUAUUCUGGCAAAGGCUGAACCAAAGAGCAGUCUCAUUGCACUAUUUACUUUUUUUGUUAUACUCUCUCUGGCUCAGCACAAUCAGUGCAGUCCGAUGCUGCAGAAGACAGACUGUUCCCUCCCUCUUCCCACAGUGUUUCUCGUCUACCUUUUGCCCUUAUUCAGUGGGAAGAAAUUUCUUCUUGACCUCAGCAAUCCUUUCUGACAAUUACCAUAUGCCUCAAGAGACCUGGGAAGCUUCGCCCUGUCUGGCACAGGGAGACAAUUCCUAUCCAGAAUAAAACUGAAAGCUUUCAAAAAAAAGAAGAAGAAGAAAAAGAAAGAGAAAAAGAAAGAAAGGAAAGAAAGAAAGACUGUAAUAAGUUACCUUGUCUCUGGGAGAUUCUGUAACAGUGAAUUGCACAGGCUCAUUAUCCCCUCUAUUAAAAAGUUUUUAAAAGGUUCCUCUUCAUCAUUUAGAGUAUGUUGCCUUGGCGCCGGCCUGGAGAGGGUUAGCACAGGAGCCAGGCUGAGUUUAAUUAAAGAAUUUCCGUGUGUCAGCAGCAGGAGACUUUGAUUAAAGUGAGAAGCAGCCAAGAUUCCGGGAAGCGCGUCUUUCUCCUGUCUCCUCCCCCAGAUGUGCGGGUGUCCUUCCCCCAACACCAUGGAAGAAGGGGUCCAGGAAGAAAAUGUCACAGUUGCCUGUGACCCCCACCUGGUCUGCAGAAAGGCAGAGAAGACCUGCUUAUGGAGGAAAAAGACGGCCUCUGUCUGGAGCUUCUAUGAAUUACAUAACGAAUAAGUGAUUUCACCACAAAGCAGUGAAAUUUUUAAAAGUUAACCAGUGGCAGAAGUGUCAGGACAGUCUGCACGGGCAAGAAUGAUACCUAAAUCACUACUCAGGCACAGGAGAGAGCAGGACUGGCAUGGCUGGCAGGUAUGGACCUCCAUGAACCCCAUUAAACAGGAAGGGGCAAUAAGCAACCUUCUGGUUUAAGAGUCACAAAGUUAAUCUUCCAGGUGAGGGUCACCUUGCUAAAGAUAAUACAUAAACAAAGUCACAUGUCUUGAAUCACAGUUACCACUCUGGAGGAAACAUAGCAAUUUAACAUAACGUUGCCUAUUCUGCUUCCCUUUCUAGGCACCUGAUUAGUGGAGGUGGCAGAGCAGGAAUCUGAUUCAGAGUUUAGUUUGCUCUAAUAAUUUAAAUAAUAUUUUAGAAAUUUCGCAGUCAUAAUGUAGCCUUGGGCAAAGGGGUGAGAAGCCUCUAGUCUUAUGAUGGUCCUUGACCUAUGCUGGUUGGCAUCAGCUUCUCUCUAGAGUGAUGAGCCUUGCUCACUUGGUCACCAGUCCCCUGUAAGGAUCUGAUGCUGAGAUCUGUGGCUGGUGAGCUUGUGAUCUGUUCUUUUACAGAUGAGGAAACUGCAGCCUAGAGAGUUUGAGUGACUUGCUUAACAUUUCUCUGAGGAAAUUUAACAGUACUCAAGGUCUCUCCUAAGGAAAAUAGUAGUUGAGUGUGGGAGAAGGUGGAAAUAACGUGUUUCCAUGAGAUAAGCAAGAAGAGCAAAGACUAGUUGGAGAAGACGGAUAAUUGAUUGAAUAUCAUAGAGAGUCCUGGAAAGAAUGGUAAAUGUCAACCAAUUCAAAUAGUUUUAACAGAUGAAGAAACAAGACCAGAGAGGUUACAUGCCUUAUCCAGGGUCACACAGAUAGUCAAUGUCAGAGAGAGAACUUAGACUCCUGGUUUCUCACUCGUAGCGCUUAACUUUUUUCAUUUCUCACUGUAAAAACAUCUCAAAUAGUCUGCCCUUUAUUUAAAAAGAGAUGAAGUGAGCAUCUGUAGAAGCCCAGAAGGUUUUAGAACAUAAAGCAGAUAGAAGAUCAAUUUCCUCUCUGACAAUGAUUCCUUGCAAAGAGUUGGGAUUAUUUUGGUUCAAUUAAAAUUACUAUGCUCCUUUUAUGAGAAAUAUAUUAAGAAAGGAGAUAAAUUGGUACCACAUGAGUAAAAAAAAAAUUGGUGCUUUUCCUCCAUCUGUUCAUUCUUUUGUGGGAAGACACAAACACCCUGUCUCCUACUGACUGAUAAUCGUGAAAAGUGCUAAAUAAGAAGUAUAAAAGGGAUUGAGAAUUUAAGGAAAAGAGAAUUUAAGAAUAUUUUGCAGGCAUUAGAUCCUUGUUAAAAAUCUAUAUUCUUGACUUUAAAAGGACUUUACUAGUUGGAAAUGAUGAAAAUCAUUGAAAAGGAUUCUAAUUAAAGAUAUGUCUGUCUUACAGAAGAUUUUAAAAUAGAUUAGCUUAAUUAUGGCCAAAUGUAUUUAUUUCUACCCUUUAAUAUUGAUACUGUGGUUUUUGUUUAAUGUCUGUACACAGCUUUUACGUUGUAUAGUCUAUUUAUAUCCUAUAGAUCUACCUCUAUGGUUUUCUUUCUUUUUUUGGUGGGGGGAGAGUAUCCUGCUUUGUCACCCAAGCUGGAAUGCAGUGGCUCAAUCAUUACCCACUGUAACCUCAAACUCCUGGGCUCAAGUGAUCCUCCCACCUCAGCCUCCUGAGUAGCUGUGACUACAGGUGUGCAUCACUACACUCAGCUAGGUUUUUAAAUGUUUCAUAGAGACAGAGUCCAGCUAUGUUGCCCAGCCUGGUCUCAAACUGCUGGCCUCAAGCAAUCCUCUCGCCUUGGCCUCCCAAAGUGCUGGGAUUACAGCACUGUGUGAGUCACAGUGCCCAGCCUACCUCUGUGGUUUUCUUGAGGAUGAUUUUAUCUUCCCAUUGAAAUCUUUCUCAUGUCUCGCUUCACCUAAUUUAGUGACUUUAUGUAAUCAUUAGGUUAAUCAUCAUCUCAUCUAAGGUGACCAGCAAGCCCUGAAGAAGUGGAAAAUGAAAGAACAUGGUCUUGACAUUUAAAAACCUAACACAUUUAAUGUAUUCAUUAAAAUAUGUGUUGGUGCAUUCCCUCAGCCAGACAUAUUUAUUAAGAAAAUAUUAGGGACUAACUGUUAUGCUAGAAAUUGAAAAUAUCCUAAUAAUAGACCUUAAAAGUCUACUAAGAAAGGCUUACCAAGAAAACAAAAUAAGAGACUGAUGUCUAACAUAAGAAAUAUGGUCAAGGAAUGUAAAACAUGGUUGGGAGUCAAGGAAUGCUUCUUAAAAUAAAGGGAAAAAGCCUUCAAUUUUGAGUUAUAUUCUUCAUCUUCAAUGUGACUUCCAAGAUUCAUUGGUUUAUUUUCACUAAGAAAAGAGUUACUUAGUAACUAUAGACACUAUUUGGGCCAUUAAAAAAAGUAAACACUAGAUUGCAUGUUUUGGUUUUGGAUGGUGAAGCAUGUCUCAGAAUGUAAACCUAUUUUCUUCACUUUUCAUUGCUCUGUGGGAUGACAAACUUUAAUGAACAGAUGAGACUCAUUGGAAACUAGUUAUUGUCUAUGGCCAUACCACUCUGAAUGUGCUGGAUCUUGUCUGAAAACUAAUAAUUAAUGAGUAGAGAAACAGGGGUGCUGUUAAGGUGUUUAAAAAUCCUUAAAAGCCCUCACAUAAGUCAAACAUGCCCCUAGUCAUUUUGUUUAUGCUAUGAAUUCACCUGGCAAAUUGUUUCAUACGUAAUUCAGAGGUAAGUUUCAGAUCAGCUUAUGUAGAAACAAUUGCAAAUGAAUGGAACUGAAUUUCUGAGGUUUUAUUUUGUUUUACUUUUUGAGACAGACUCUCGCUCUGUUGUCCAGGCUCGGCUUACUACAAGCCCUGCCUCCUGGGUUCAAGCAAUUCUCCUGCCUCAACCUCCCGAGUAGCUGGGAUUACAGGUGCGUGCCACCACACCCGGCUAAUUUUUGUGCUUUUAGUAGAGACGGAGUUUCACCACGUUGGCCAGGCUGGUCUCAAACUCCUGGCCUCAAGUGAUCCGCCUGCCUCGGCCUCUCAAAGUUAUGGGAUUACAGGCAUGACCCACUGCACCUGGCCUGAAAUUUUAUUUUAAAUAGAAAGAUAUUAAUAGCAUUUGGUAUCCCAUCUUUGUUCAUAUUCGGUCUCGCAUGCUGUACAUCAACCAAAAUGUGUUGUGUAAUUAGUUCAUUUUUAUUUCUGGUCAUAUAUACUCACUCUAACUUUUGAUGAUACAAAUAACAAAGCUUUUUCUUCUUCAAAUUAGAGAGAAAAAGGAAAAAAUUAUCAAAGAUAAAAGGGCCCCAGGAAAAACACCAAAAUAUUAAUAAUGGUUACCUCGAACUGUGAGACUAUGGGCGAUUUUACUGUUUUGUAUAUUUUUUGUAUUUCCCAAGUGCUCUAUAGUUAGCACACCUUGCUUCUUUAAGAAAACUUGAAAUAAAAUUAUAAAAUACUUGAAUGCAUCAUUCUAGUAGAUUUAACCUAAAAUGUAAUUUUAGGAGCAUAGUACUUAAGGAGUAGCGAGGGCAUGGUGGCUUAUGCCUGUAAUCCCAGCCAGCACUUGGGGAGGAUGAGGUGGGAGGAUUGCUUGAGGCCAGGAGCUUGAGACCAGCCUGGGCAACAUAGCAAAACCCCAUCUCUACAAAAUUGUACAAAAUUAGCCAGGCAUAGUGUUGUACACUUGUACUCCCAACUACUUGGGAGACUGAGGUGAGAAGAUAGCUGGAGCCCAGGAGUUUGAGGCUGCAGUGAGCUAUGAUCAUGCCACUGAACUCUUGCCUGGGUGACAAAAUGAGACCCUGUCAAAAAGAAAAAAAAAAAAGAGAGAGAAGCUGAGUCAUAAUGGCAGAGCACUGUGUCGAGAGCCACAAAUGUCCACUCUUAAAGAGCAAGAUAAUGGACUGAUAGAGCUGCUUCUUAUCAGAAUAGCUGGGCUCAGGGAGACCUGUGUGUCCCGUUCCUCAGCUUGUGGCUGAUGACAUUAUUUUAUUCUGUUCCUGCUUUCAUAUGUUCUUACAACAUUAACCAUAAACUGAGGCAACUUCAAGAUGUAUCUGUUCCUUGCAACCUAAAAGAAGCUGCCUGGCAUAAACAAAUGUGUAGGUUAUAUAAUAAAAUCAAAACUAACAACAACAAAACACUGUGAUAAAUAGUCUAGAAGGUACAUUUUGUCUGUGUUUUAAAUUAUUUUCUAAGGAUUGGGUACUGGACUUAAAAUGGACAGACCAAAGAGAUAAGAACUUUUCUAAUCCUGCCAAAGAGUUUUUCAUAAAUUGCUUUGAUUACUAUUUAGUGGAUUGUUAUUUUGGUAUGAUUUUUUAUCUUGUAAUUUCUUAUUUUGUGAAUUUUCUAUUUCGGUUCUCUAUGUAGCAGGCACUGUACUUUGGCCAAACCAAUCUCCAUUUGCAACAUGUUUCUCCCUUACUUGACUCCACUAUACAGAGAGUAAAAGCUAAAUUUUGAUGUUCCACCCCCACCCCCUUAUUGAUAUGAGAAGUAAGUCUUCUGGUGCAUUCCUCUCCAAUUUCCGUCUUCUUUCCACUUGAGCUGCCAGGAGAUGCAACAGUGGUUUUGAAACCAAAAAGAUAAAAACUACAUACUAAGAAUGCAUGAACCUAAAGAUUUACAGAGCCUGGGACACUGGGGAUACUUGGAGUCCAUGUAUCAGCCUUGGACUGAUUCCCAUGGGACUUCUUAUUACCCAAGUGAAACAGUCCUUCCUUUCAUCUGUUAAGCCACUAUGGUAUGUUUUGCUGGUUCUCGUAGCCAAAUACAGUUUUGACUGCUAUACCCAUUUUUUUCUUAUGGAUGUUCACGACUUCUUUUAUAUUGUGGAUUGUAUUGUGAAUAUGUAUCUUAUUUGUUGCAAAUAUUUUCUCAGUCUUUUUGUCCUUUAAUUUAUUAUUCAAUGUUUGUAAGGUUUUUAUGUUUAUGCUGUUAUAUAUAUCCAUUUUUUCUGAUUUAUUCAAUUGAAAAAUUGAGAAACGUAAUUGAUAAUUUUGAACAUUAUUGAAGAAGACAUCAAUAAAACAAAACAUAGUCUAGCAAUUACAAAACAGAAAAACAGCAAUGAAGAUUUGUUUGGUUUGGUUUGGUUUUUUGAGACAGGGUCUUGCUCUGUUGCCCAGGCUGGAGAUCAGUGGCGUGAACACAGCUCACUGCAACCUUGACCUCCUGGGAUCAAGCUAUCCUCCCGCUUCGGCCUCCCGUGUAGCCAGGACUACAGGCGUGAGCCAUGACACCUGGCUAAUUUUUAAACUUUUUGUAGAAAUGGAGAUCUCAUGUUGCCAAAGCUGAUCUCAAAUUCCUGGGCUCAAGUAGUCCUCCUGCCUCAGCCUCCCAAACUGCUAGGGCUUCAGGUAUGAGCCACCAUACCCAGACACAGUGAAAUAUAAAAAUAUAUAUUACAUAUAACGUAUUAUAGUAAAAUAUGUAACAAUAAUAAUAAUGAAAAUGGGUUGAACUUCUUAAACUUCGCUAUUAAAAGACAGUGGUUCUCAAGCUGGUUAAAUACACACCCUUGCACUCACAAGCAUAUACACACACAGUCUAUGUAGGUUAUAAAACAUACUCAAACCAAAAUAAGCAUAAACAUUGAAAGCAAAAUGAUAAGCAAAGAUAUACCAAGAAAUUAAAAUAAAAAGAAAGCAGGAAUUAACAUCUGACAAAGUAUAACUUAAGGUAGAAAAUGAAAAGUAGGGUAAAAAUCUCCACUUUAUUCAUAAAGCUGUGCUGUAGUAUGAGUUGUGUAAUUUUAUUCAUAAACACUAGAUAAAUAUAUAGAGAGCAAAACACAACAGAAAGACAAGAAGAAAAUUACAGAAACUAAUUGUAGUGGGAAGUUUUAACACAUUUUACUCUUUGGCAGGCAAAAUAAGUAAUACCUAAAUGUAGAGACAGCUGAGUAAUAUAAUUCCGGGGUCCCCAGUACCCAGGCCAUGGACCAGUACCUGUUGAUGGCCUGUUAGGAACUGGGCCACACAGCAGAAGGUGGCAGGGGGUGGUGAGUGAGCAUUACCGCCUGAUCUCUGCCUCCUGUCAGAUCAGCAGCAGCAUUUGAUUCUCAUAGGAGCAAACCAUGUGAACUGUGCAUGCAAGGGAUCUAGGCUGUGAGCUCCUUAUGAGAAUCUAGUGCCUGAUGAUCUGAGGUGGAACAGUUUCAUCCUGAAACCCUCCACCCAACCCCCAUCCGUGGAAAAAUUGUCUUUUACGAAACCUGUCCCUGGUGCCGAAAAGGUUGGGGACGGUUGAUGUAAGUAACAUAUUUUAUUUAAUAAAUACUUAUAAAAUUAUGUAUGCGUCAAAACCACAUGCCAUCUUUUAUAAUGUGCCUGAAAUAUUUACUAUAAUUUAAUGGUUUGUCUAAAAGUAAGUUUAAGAAAUCAUAAAUUCCACAGGACUUAUUAUUCUCUUAGCAUAAAGCAAAGGAAAUUAAUUUUAAAAUUUAAGUUUAAUAAUAUCUUGAAAUAUCUUUUGAGUGAAAGGGGAAAUCCACUGUAUGCUUAUACCACAUUUUGUUUAUUCAUUCACUAGUGGAUGGAAAUUUAGGUUGUUUCCACUUUGGGGCUAUUAUGAAUAAUGCUGCAAUGAACAUUCGUGUACAAGUUUUUGUGUGAACACGUGUUUUCAGUUCAGUUGGAUAUACAUCCAACAUUGAAAUUGCUAGGUCAUAUGUAACUCUAUUUGUAAUAUUUUGAGAAAUAGUCAAAGAGUUUUCCAAAGUUGCUGCAUUUUCCAUUUCAACCAGCAAUGUAUAAGGGUUCCAAUUUCUCUGCAUUCUCCCCCACAAUUUUUAUUGGCCAUCUUUUUUAUUAUAUAGCCAUCAUAGUGGGUGUGAAGCAGUAUCACAUGUUUUUUAUUUUUUAUUUUAAUUUCCUUAAUGACUAAUGAUGUUGAGCUUUUUUAUGUACUUAUUGAUCAUUUAGUUAUCUUCUCUGAAGAAAUGUCUAUUUAAAUAGUUGGCCCAUUUUUACUUGGGUGGUCUUAUACUGUUUAGUCUUGAGGUUAUUUUAUAUCCUGGAUAAAAGUCCCUUAUUGGUUAUAUGAUUUGCAAAUACUUUCUCUCUUACUGUAGGUUGUCUUUUCACUUUCUUGAUAGUGUCUUCUAAAGCAGAAAAAGUUUUCUUUUUAAGGAAGUCUAAUUUAUUAUUAUUACUUUUUGGGGCCACUUUUUUCUAUGGUGUUAUAGCUUGGAAGGCUUUGUCUAACCGCUGUUCAUGCAUAUUUACUACAGCACUUUGUCCUAAGAGGUUUAUAGUUUUGAUUUUUUUUUUUUUUUGACGGAGUCUUGCUCUGUCAUCCAGGCUGCUGGAGUGCAGUGGCGCAAUCUCAGCUCACUGCAACCUCCACCUCCCGGGUUCAAGCGAUUUUUCUGCUCAGCCUCCCGAGUAGCUGGGACUACAGGCACGUGCCACCAUGCCCAGCUAAUUUUUGUAUUUUUACUAGAGACGGGGUUUCACGAUAUUGGCCAGGCUGGUCUCGAACUCCUGACCUCGUGAUCCGCCCACCUUGGCCUCCCAAAGUGCUGGGAUUACAGGUGUGAGCCACCACACCUGGCCUAGUUUUGAUUUUCAUAUUUAUGUUUACAUUCCAUUGUGAGUUGACUUUUAAAAUCUAAACCUAGGAGGUACAAGUGCAGUUGUGUUAUAUGGACAUACUGCAUGGUGGUGAAGUCUGGGCUUUUACUGUAACC